AGCAAUGCUGUGCAGAAACAGAAGGGCAAGAAUCAUAUACUCAGCCGAAAAGAGUGAAAUUGUCAUUUUUCAGGGGAAAAACGCAUGGACCUGGAAAUCAUGGUGUUGUGUAUAACAGGCCAGUCCCACAAUGACAUUUGUUUUCAAGUCUUGGAUCUCAGUUUGGGGAGGGGACCUGAUAGUAAAAGGGGAUAUUAGGGAUGUGAAGGGUAAAGAGGAGGGGGGUAAGUAUGUAAAGUAGGUGAAUAUUAUCAAACAUUAUGUGCAUAUACAGAAAUGUUAUAGUGAAUAUUUUUUACUUUUUAUGCUAAAUAUUUACUAACAAAAUCUUUAUAAAGUAAAAAGAGACAAAGAAAAUGAGUAGUUAGAAAAAAAAUGGAAGAUAGUUAACAAAGAAAAUUUAAAAUAUGUAAAAACUAACUUCUAAAACCAGAAACAUAAAAUACAAGAAAUAAAAGGAAAAAUGAAAACCAAUACCCCCAAAGCACAACCAGCAAAGUGAGAGAAAAACUCACUCUGUCAAGUACAAGAAGUCACCAGCAUCCGAGUCCAAAACUUCACCGAUAUCCAGGUCCAAAACUUUUACCAACAUCCAAGUCCCACAGAUCACCACCUAACAGCUCUCUGUACUAGAAGGACAAAACCCAGCCCUAGGCAGUGUGUUAUAUGCACAGGUGUCAGUCAUUCCUCACAGUGGCUCCUUGUGAGGUCAGAGCAAGCCAUGGACCAAUGAGGGAUGGGCACACUCCUGUCAAAGGCCUGUGUUAGCUACUCUGCAGUCACUGCUACCAAGUGCCCCACAGAAAGUAACAUAAGGAAGGUUUGUUUGGGCUCACAUUCUGUGAGAACAUGGAAAGCAUGGUGGCAAGAGUAGUUGGUGUUAGCAUGUGGCUGCUUACACUGUACUGGUGGUCACUCCACCUCCAAUACCAGGCUAACAAACUGCUUCCUGGAGCUAGACCCCACCUGCUAAAGCUAGACCACAACUUCCCAAGACAGCAUUACCUGCUGGAGAGCAUGAGUUCAAACACAGAAGUGUCUACAUGGGACAUUUCACAAGCAAACCCUAGGAAGGACUGGCUCCACUUUAACAGUAGUAACAACAGAAAUGAAAUGAAAAUCCAACAUGGAUUUGGAGGGACACGUGUUCUAACAUGAUAACCCACAAACUAGAGCUGGUCAUCAGUAGACGUGACCUGCCUGAGGGAUGAAGAGAAAGUGAAGAUGAAAGACAUGAAUGUUUCACCUCAGAAAAUAGCACAUUAUCCCAAGAAUUAAUAAUACACUUAGCAAUUAAAAACAAUGUUGUGAGAAAUCA